UUCCGGUUGAUCCUGCCGGAGGCCAUUGCUAUUGGGAUCCGAUUUAGCCAUGCUAGUUGUACGAGUUCAGACUCGUAGCGAAUAGCUCAGUAACACGUGGCCAAUCUACCCUUCGGAGCGCGAUAACCUCGUGAAACUGAGGCUAAUAGCGCAUCUCACACUCACACUGGAAUUGUGGAGUGUGUCAAACGCUCAGGCGCCGAAGGAUGAGGCUGCGGCCGAUUAGGUAGACGGUGGGGUAACGGCCCACCGUGCCGAUAAUCGGUACGGGUCAUGAGAGUGAGAACCCGGAGACGGAAUCUGAGACAAGAUUCCGGGCCCUACGGGGCGCAGCAGGCGCGAAACCUUUACACUGCACGCCAGUGCGAUAAGGGGAUCCCAAGUGCGUAGGCAUAGAGCCUACGCUUUUGUGAACCGUAGGGAGGUUCACGAAUAAGGGCUGGGCAAGACCGGUGCCAGCCGCCGCGGUAAUACCGGCAGCCCGAGUGAUGGCCGAUUUUAUUAGGCCUAAAGCGUCCGUAGCUGGCCGCGCAAGUCCAUUGGGAAAUCUCCCCGCUCAACGGGGAGGCGCCCGGUGGAAACUGCGUGGCUUGGGACCGGAAGGCGCGACGGGUACGUCCGGGGUAGGAGUGAAAUCCUGUAAUCCUGGACGGACCGCCGAUGGCGAAAGCACGUCGCGAGAACGGAUCCGACAGUGAGGGACGAAAGCUAGGGUCUCGAACCGGAUUAGAUACCCGGGUAGUCCUAGCCGUAAACGAUGCCUGUUAGGUGUGGCUCCCACUACGAGUGGGUGCUGUGCCGUAGGGAAGCCGCUAAACAGGCCGCCUGGGAAGUACGUCCGCAAGGAUGAAACUUAAAGGAAUUGGCGGGGGAGCACUACAACCGGAGGAGCCUGCGGUUUAAUUGGAUUCAACGCCGGA
rnacentral:rRNA from 1 species